UGGGGAAUUUUCCGCAAUGGGCGAAAGCCUGACGGAGCAAUACCGCGUGAAGGAAGACGGCCUAUGGGUUGUAAACUUCUUUUUCAGGGAGGAACUCAAUGACGUGUACCUGAAGAAUAAGCAUCGGCUAACUCCGUGCCAGCAGCCGCGGUAAGACGGAGGAUGCAAGUGUUAUCCGGAAUCACUGGGCGUAAAGCGUCUGUAGGUGGUUUAAUAAGUCGACUGUUAAAUCUUGAGGCUUAACCUCAAAAUCGCAUUCGAAACUAUUAGACUUGAGUAUAGUAGAGGUAAAGGGAAUUUCCAGUGGAGCGGUGAAAUGCGUAGAUAUUGGAAAGAACACCGAUGGCGAA
rnacentral:rRNA from 1 species